UAAUCCUCAACCCUUGGGUUGGACUAUGGAUGCUGCGGUGGCCCGCCUCCGCUCGUCUCAAACUUAUUAGGGCUGCGUGAUCCGCCCGUCGGCGUUUAGUAAUGCUUGCGCCGCGCCAAGGUUCAGCGCCCUUUCUGCCGUCCCGGCGACUUUGACU
rnacentral:misc_RNA from 1 species